GUGUUAGUUCACGUUACGGGACUGUUUCGUCUUCGUUCAUUUUUGUCGGUUUGUUGUUUUUGUUCAUUGUUUAAGUUUCCUAUUAAAUAUGGAUAAUCAUCACGCUGCAUUUUGGUCCUCCUCUCUUUCACCCGAAGACAAUCGUGACAAACCCUUUUACCCUCGUCUUCCGCAAUUGUUCCUCAGCUGUGGAGAAAUAGCUUUUUGAGAACAAUAAACGCUUCCUGCAGCGAGUUAGGCUGCUCGGCAGUGGGGCGCUGAAUGGGAAAAUACAUAAGGAGGAAGAGUAUUUGGGUUUUGCCACCCUCCCCAACCAGGUCCACAGGAAGUCAGUGAAGAAGGGGUUUGACUUUACCCUCAUGGUGUUAGUUGUAGAGGAUGCAGGAGAUGCUUCAGAAGAUGCAACAUGAGCAGGUCCUGUGAGCGCUGAUCCUUUACCUUUCACCCCAGAGCUUCCACCUCGCUCCUCUCACCUAAUGAGGAGUAUCACAGGGUCAAUCACAUGCUGGCCAAUCACACACUGCCACCUGACCACUGUCUCUUAAUCGUAAACAUUCAUUGGAGUUCUAUACAGUACAGUUCUGUUUGAACUUUCUGUAAUUGUUACUCCCUCUUCUGAAUAUGUUCAUGUCUCCAAUCACUAACAGAGGAACUGGACACGUGGUAAAACCAACACUAAACACUCUCCAAACCGUGGACAUUAUAGGUCGGCCACACCCUACAUUGGAGUCUGACUUUUAAACAGGGUCAAGCAUUUUGUCAAUGUUUUGUUGGUGUUGUGAAAAACCAAGAAACAACGCUCUGUUGGAUACCGUUAGAAGCCAAGACUGUAGCCAAGCUUUGUAGCGCUGUAGUAGAUUUGCACCUUAGAUUGCAGUUGAUGUCCGAGCCCCUUUUUGUGUAUUCAAGGAAAGUUAUUUAGUACUUAAUAAGACUGUUUAUGAUUAUGGUUGAAUAUGUAUUUUGCACUCUACCUGAUCACACAGUUAGAAUGUUGGCCAGAUUAAUUUAUUCUGUUUCUAACAUUGUGUUCCAUGUUAUUUAUUUUAAUCGAUGGCAUCUUUGAAUGAGUAAAAGUGAGCAUGUGAAAUUGUGAGUGUACGUGUGUGUGUGUUUAUAGUUGUGGUGUGUGUGAGAGAAAUAGAGAGAACGUGUCUCUAUGUCAGAAACGUAGACCACAGUGCCAUUUCCUGUCUGACAGAAGUUAUGAAACGAACCAAAGUUUUAAGCGAGACUAAAUAUGCAAUUUCCUUUUAGUCCAUUGACAGACGGAGGCUUUCUAAAGCACCACUUCUGUCUACGAGGGCUCUCUUACGGAACCGGGGCAAAGUGUUACAGCACAAUCAAUACUCUGACAGUCUACUUUAGAUUACAUUAGAUAAAGAAUCAUUAGAUCAAACUCAAAUGAAAAACUUUAUAGGACCAGAACCCAUCCACUUGACAAGAUUGCAUUACACCCUUUAAGUGUGUGUGUGUGUG